rnacentral:rRNA from 1 species
AUACGGAGGAUCCGAGCGUUAUCCGGAUUUAUUGGGUUUAAAGGGUGCGCAGGCGGGAUGUUAAGUCGGCGGUGGAAUUUUGCAGCUCAACUGUAAAAGUGCCUUCGAUACUGGCUUCCUUUAGUGUGGAUAAAGUAGGCGGGAUUUUUGGGGUCGCGGUGAAAUGCUUAGAUAUCACGAGGAACUCCGAUUGCGCAGGCAGCUUACUAAACCACUACUGACGCUCAGGCACGAAGGCGUGGGGAUCAAACAGGAUUAGAUACCCUGGUAGUCCACGCAGUAAACGAUGAUUACUGGCUGUUUGCGAUACAAUGUAAGCGGCUGAGCGAAAGCGUUAAGUAAUCCACCUGGGGAGUACGUUCGCAAGAAUGAAACUCAAAUGAAUGGGCGGGG